UGACCGCUGGCGGCGUGCCUAAUACAUGCAAGUCGAGCGAACAGACGAGGAGCUUGCUCCUCUGACGUUAGCGGCGGACGGGUGAGUAACACGUGGAUAACCUACCUAUAAGACUGGGAUAACUUCGGGAAACCGGAGCUAAUACCGGAUAAUAUAUUGAACCGCAUGGUUCUAUAGUGAAAGACGGUUUUGCUGUCACUUAUAGAUGGAUCCGCGCCGCAUUAGCUAGUUGGUAAGGUAACGGCUUACCAAGGCAACGAUGCGUAGCCGACCUGAGAGGGUGAUCGGCCACACUGGAACUGAGACACGGUCCAGACUCCUACGGGAGGCAGCAGUAGGGAAUCUUCCGCAAUGGGCGAAAGCCUGACGGAGCAACGCCGCGUGAGUGAUGAAGGUCUUCGGAUCGUAAAACUCUGUUAUUAGGGAAGAACAAAUGUGUAAGUAACUAUGCACGUCUUGACGGUACCUAAUCAGAAAGCCACGGCUAACUACGUG
rnacentral:rRNA from 1 species